UACGGAGGAUCCAAGCGUUAUCCGGAAUCAUUGGGUUUAAAGGGUCCGUAGGCGGCCCAGUAAGUCAGUGGUGAAAUCUCCCGGCUCAACCGGGAAAUUGCCAUUGAUACUGUUGGGCUUGAAUUAUUGGGAAGCAACUAGAAUAUGUAGUGUAGCGGUGAAAUGCUUAGAUAUUACAUGGAAUACCGAUUGCGAAGGCAGGUUGCUACCAAUGGAUUGACGCUGAUGGACGAAAGCGUGGGGAGCGAACAGG
rnacentral:rRNA from 1 species